rnacentral:lncRNA from 1 species
UCUAAUCACUUGUAUCAUAGUCCCUAAAUGAUCAUAAUCUAAGCUCUGAUAACAUUCUAAAAUAUUCAAAUCACUUAUAUUAUAAUCUCUAAUGAUCAUAACCUAUACUCUGAUAUCAUUAUGUAAUAUUCAAAUCACUUAUAUUAUAAUCCUUAAUGAUCAUAACCUGAGCUCUGAUACCAUUCCGUCACGCCCUGAACCCAACGCCC